rnacentral:tRNA from 1 species
GGUCCCUUCGUCUAUCGGUUAGGACGUCAGAUUUUCAAUCUGAAAAGACGGGUUCGACUCCCGUAGGGAUCACCA